rnacentral:tRNA from 1 species
GGACCCGUGGUGUAGUGGUUAACAUGCCUGCCUGUCACGCAGGAGAUCGCCGGUUCAAAUCCGGUCGGGUCCGCCA